GUCCACGCUGUAAACGAUGAUCACUCGCUGUAUGCGAUACACAGUAUGCGGCCAAGCGAAAGCAUUAAGUGAUCCACCUGGGAGUACGAUCGCAAGGUUGAAACUCAAAGGAAUUGACGGGGGCCCGCACAAGCGGAGGAACAUGUGGUUUAAUUCGAUGAUACGCGAGGAACCUUACCUGGGCUUAAAUGUAGAACGACAGAUUGUGAAAGCAGUCCUUCUUCGGACGUUUUACAAGGUGCUGCAUGGUUGUCGU
rnacentral:rRNA from 1 species